rnacentral:rRNA from 1 species
CCCUUAGAGUUUGAUCCUGGCUCAGAACGAACGUUGGCGGCGUGGAUUAGGCAUGCAAGUCGGGGGAAUCCCAGCAAUGGGGGAACCGGCGUAAGGGGCAGUAAGGCGUGGGUACCUACCCUGGGGUUCGGGAUAGCUGUCCGAGAGGGCAGGUAAUACCGGAUGACCUGGUGACAGCAAAGAUUUAUCGCCCUGGGAGGGGCCCACGUGAUAUUAGGUCGUUGGCGGGGUAACGGCCCACCAAGCCUUAGAUGUCUAGCAGGUGUGAGAGCACGACCUGCGCCACUGGCACUGAGACGCUGGCCAGACACCUACGGGUGGCUGCAGUCGAGGAUCUUCGGCAAUGGGCGCAAGCCUGACCGAGCGACGCCGCGUGGGCGAUGAAGGCCUUCGGGUUGUAAAGCCCUGUCGGGGGGGAGAAAAGGGUAACACUUUGAUCUAUCCCCGGAGGAAGCACGGGCUAAGUUCGUGCCAGCAGCCGCGGUAAGACGAACCGUGCGAACGUUGUUCGGAAUCACUGGGCUUAAAGGGCGCGUAGGCGGGCCUCCAAGUCCGGGGUGAAAGCCUCCAGCCUAACUGGAGAAGCGCCUCGGAGACUGGGGGCCUCGAGGGAGGUAGGGGCAAGCGGAACUAUGGGUGGAGCGGUGAAAUGCAUUGAUAUCCAUAGGAACUCCGGUGGC